rnacentral:misc_RNA from 1 species
AUUGUUUAGAGGAUGAUUCUUUAGCUGCUGGCAUUCGUCAGCUUUUAAAACAGCUUGGGAAGACAUUGAAGAAGGAGGAGAAGGAGACUGUGAAGGAGGUGCUGUCAAGUGCUCAGGUAGUGCUUGCAACCAACACUGGAGCUGCUGAUCCACUUAUCCGAAGGCUGGAUACUUUUGACCUGGUUGUUAUAGAUGAAGCAGGGCAGGCAAUAGAACCUUCUUCGUGGAUCCCAAUAUUGCAGGGUAGACGCUGUAUUCUUGCUGGGGAUCAAUGCCAGUUUGCUCCUGUUAUUCUAUCAAGAAAAGCCUUGGAGGGUGGCCUUGGUGUCUCUCUACUGGAAAGAGCUGCUGCCCUGCAUGAAGGGGUCCUUGCAACCAAGUUAACAACACAAUACCGUAUGAAUGAUGCGAUAGCCAGUUGGGCCUCCAAGGAGAUGUAUGGUGGAUUGUUGAAGUCUUCUUCAUCAGUUGCUUCACAUCUUCUUGCAGAUUCUCCAUUUGUUAAGCCUACGUGGAUAACUCAAUGCCCCCUGCUGUUACUUGACACAAGAAUGCCAUAUGGAAGUCUGUCAGUAGGUUGUGAAGAGCAUUUAGACCCAGCUGGAACAGGCUCAUUUUACAAUGAAGGGGAAGCUGAAAUUGUUGUGGAACAUGUGUUUUCCUUAAUUUAUGCAGGGAUUGGACCAACAACUAUUGCGGUUCAAUCACCUUAUGUUGCUCAAGUACAACUCUUGAGGGAGAGGCUCGAUGAACUUCCAGAGGCGGCUGGUGUUGAGGUUGCAACCAUUGACAGCUUCCAAGGUCGUGAGGCUGAUGCAGUAAUCAUAUCAAUGGUCCGCUCAAACACUUUAGGAGCUGUUGGAUUCCUCGGGGACAGCAGGCGAAUGAAUGUUGCCAUCACAAGAGCACGGAAACAUGUAGCAGUCAUCUGUGAUAGCUCAACAAUAUGCCACAACACCUUCCUGGCUAGGCUCUUGCGCCACAUCCGCUAUUUUGGUAGGGUGAAGCAUGCCGAGCCUGGUAGCUUUGGGGGAUCUGGGCUUGGUAUGGACCCAAUGUUACCAUCGAUUAGUUAAGUAUAAAUCACAUAUAUUUCUCCAACUGGAAAUUGAUGUGGAGAACUUAACAUAGACGUCUGGUUUCUUUCCUGUCAGCAUCUGCUUUUUCGUCCAUUUAUGUACAGCAGGUUUUUCAUUUUUGUCGGUAGAAUAAUCGACAACUACAUUCUCUGUUGUUAUUGGUUAGAUUUGUAUAUAAG